AAUUUUCGUACGAAAAAAAGAAUAAAAAUCGAUGCGGCAUUAUGAAUACUUGAUCCAAAAAAAUUGUACUCAACUAUAUUUUCCAUCAUGCUAGAUUCAGUUAUGUAUCUGCGGACUUGCUCAAUUUCUUCAAGCUCGUUGUUUCGCUGGCACUUCUGUAGCAGGACAAGACUCUCCAUCAGUCUCCAUUGAUUCAUCCUCUGAAAGGAGAGAUUGGACCUAAUUCUUCCCACGCAGAUUCAAAAUCACCAUCCUUUCUAGGCAGGUCAGAUGAUUCAUUAUCAGAGUUCGCUAUGGCAUCAAACGUGUUUUUCUCAGAAUCACUGAGAAGAGCUGUUUCCAGCUUGGAAAC